rnacentral:tRNA from 1 species
UAUUAAAAUUUAAAAAAAAAUAAUCAUCUAUUUAUUAUUGUUUGUGUUAGUUACAUUGGCAGACUAGUG